rnacentral:rRNA from 1 species
AGUGAACGCUGGCGGUAGGCCUAACACAUGCAAGUCGAACGGCAGCACAGUAAGAGCUUGCUCUUACGGGUGGCGAGUGGCGGACGGGUGAGGAAUACAUCGGAAUCUACUUUUUCGUGGGGGAUAACGUAGGGAAACUUACGCUAAUACCGCAUACGACCUACGGGUGAAAGCAGGGGAUCUUCGGACCUUGCGCGAUUGAAUGAGCCGAUGUCGGAUUAGCUAGUUGGCGGGGUAAAGGCCCACCAAGGCGACGAUCCGUAGCUGGUCUGAGAGGAUGGUCGGCCACACUGGAACUGGGACACGGUCCAGACUCCUACGGGAGGCAGCAGUGGGGAAUAUUGGACAAUGGGCGCAAGCCUGAUCCAGCCAUACCGCGUGGGUGAAGAAGGCCUUCGGGUUGUAAAGCCCUUUUGUUGGGAAAGAAAAGCAGCAGGUUAAUACCCCGCUGUUCUGACGGUACCCAAAGAAUAAGCACCGGCUAACUUCGU